CGGGCAUAUUUCUUAGUUGAUACGUAACAGGAUCACAGUGCAGAUGCAGUGCAGACACUAGGGCUACGAGAAGGCAGCACUGUGCCUGCUUUCAAGCCUCUAAGUCCACAGUCAGGAGAUGUCCUGAACUCCAUCAGGACGACCCAGCACAGUGGAUGCUCCAACGGCCCAAGAUCACAGCCUGCAGAGGGACCAACCCCAGUCAGGCUGGACUGCCUGGUCUCUUUGUUGGAUGAUCUACACUGUUCCCCAUCCACCCUGUGUGUCCACCAUGGGUUAUUGGUGCUGUGUGUCCAUCGUGGGUCAGUGGUGCUGUGUGUCCAUCGUGGGUUAUUGGGCUGUGUGUCCAUCCUGGGUUAGUGCUGCUGUGUGUCCAUCCUGGAUCAGCAGUGCUGUGUGUCCAUCCUGGGUCAGCAGUGCUGUGUGUCCAUCGUGGGUCAGUGGUGCUGUGUGUCCAUCGUGGGUCAGUGGUGCUGUGUGUCCAUCCUGGGUCAGUGGUGCUGUGUGUCCAUCCUGGGUCAGAGGUGCUAUGUGUCCAUCCUGGGUCAGCGGUGCUGUGUGUCCAUCGUGGGUCAGCAGUGCUGUGUGUCCAUCUUGGGUCAGUGGUGCUGUGUGUCCAUCGUGGGUCAGUGGUGCUAUGUGUCCAUCAUGGGUCAGCAGUGCUGUGUGUCCAUCUUGGGUCAGCGGUGCUGUGUGUCCAUCGUGGGUCAGUGGUGCUGUGUGUCCAGUGUGGGUCAGCAGUGCUGUGUGUCCAGUGUGGGUCAGCAGUGGUGUGUGUCCACUGUGGGUCAGCGGUGCUGUGUGUCCACCAUGGGUCAGCAGGCAUCUCUGCUCAGGGCCUAAGGCUGAUUGACUGUCUGACACCUCAGCAUGAGGCUUCCACAUCUGAGAGAUAGAGCUGGAAGGUCUGAAGUUCUUUGCAUAUGAAGUGACAAAUAUCACUCCUUGCAGUCCAUUAUUGGCCACUAGAAGUCAAGUUUCUGGCCCCAGUUGAUGGCAGGAGGCUAGGAAACGAGGAGGAGCACAUGGGCAUUUUGGGAGCAAUAAAUGUUUCCCCAAAGCCCAGAUCUAAAGGAAGGUGUGGCAAGUCCCACUCUGGGGAGGGAGAAGUAGUAAUUUAGAGCAAAUCUUCAGGGAUUUGGAGAAACACAGUUCAGAAAACUACAAUUCGUGUAACCCUGUUCACAAGCAUGUGCUUCCGUGUGUUCAUUUGAGAUGUAGUGUUAGUCACUCAGUCGUGUCCCACUCUUUCCAACUCCAUGGACUGUAGCCCGCAGGCUCUUCUGUCCAUGGAAUUCUCCAGGCAGGCAUACUGGAGUGGGUAGCCAUUCCCUCCUCUAGGGGGUCUUCCUGACCCAAGGAUUGAAUCUGGGUCUCCCUCCAGGUGGAUUCUUUACUAUCUGAGCCACCAAGCAUGUAAGAUGUAAGAUAACUCCAGUUGUGAUGUGUCCGUAACUGAUAAAGAGAGUUUCUGCGAACCAUUUUCCAGAGCAGUGGGUUCUGUGGAUUUUAAAUUUUUGAAGAUGAUGCCAGGAUUUUGCAUAAUAUUGCUAGGAGGCUUUCCAUCAUGAAGAUAAACUUGCCCUAACUUCAUAAUUUUGCCUGGGAAGAGCCCUGCUUGUAUUCCUCCAGUCGGUCUCACCAAGCACUACAACUCUUUGCGGGGUGAUACUCCUGGAGAUAGACAGGUACACAGGUCUGAGAUAACAUCCUGUUGUGGAGAAACGAUCCCCAUGGAGUCAGAUCUUCUCUCUACUCACACCAGGGAACCAU
ensembl:lncRNA